AGUGAACGCUGGCGGUAGGCCUAACACAUGCAAGUCGAACGGCAGCACAGUAAGAGCUUGCUCUUACGGGUGGCGAGUGGCGGACGGGUGAGGAAUACAUCGGAAUCUACUUUUUCGUGGGGGAUAACGUAGGGAAACUUACGCUAAUACCGCAUACGACCUCCGGGUGAAAGCAGGGGAUCUUCGGACCUUGCGCGAUUGAAUGAGCCGAUGUCGGAUUAGCUAGUUGGCGGGGUAAAGGCCCACUAAGGCGACGAUCCGUAGCUGGUCUGAGAGGAUGAUCAGCCACACUGGAACUGAGACACGGUCCAGACUCCUACGGGAGGCAGCAGUGGGGAAUAUUGGACAAUGGGCGCAAGCCUGAUCCAGCCAUACCGCGUGGGUGAAGAAGGCCUUCGGGUUGUAAAGCCCUUUUGUUGGGAAAGAAAAGCAGCAGGUUAAUACCCCGCUGUUCUGACGGUACCCAAAGAAUAAGCACCGGCUAACUUCGUG
rnacentral:rRNA from 1 species